GACCGAAUAUCUAAGGUUUCCUGGGGAAGGCUCGUCCUCCCAGGGUUAGUCGGGACCUAAGCCGAGGCCGAAAGGCGUAGGUGAUGGACAACUGGUUGAUAUUCCAGUACCACCAUAAUGCGCUUGUCAAAUGGGAUGACGCAGGAGGAUAGGAUGUGCGCACUAUUGGAUGUGCGUCUAAGCACUUAGGGUGGUAAGUAGGCAAAUCCGCUUAACAGUAAGCCCGAGGGGGGCUGGGGAGCCUAUUUUGGCGAAGUAUCUGAUUCCACGCUGCCAAGAAAAGUCGCUAUGGAGCAAAAUGGUGCCCGUACCGCAAACCGACACAGGUAGAUGAGGAGAGAAUCCUAAGGUCGUCGGAAGAAUUAUUGCUAAGGAACUCGGCAAAUUGACCCCGUAACUUAGGGAGAAGGGGUGCCUACGAGAGUAGGCCGCAGUGAAUAGGCUCAAGCAACUGUUUAUCAAAAACACAGGUCUCUGCUAAAGCGUAAGCUGAUGUAUAGGGGCUGACGCCUGCCCGGGGCUGGAAGGUUAAGGGGAAUAGUUAGCGCAAGCGAAGCUAUGAACUUAAGCCCCAGUAAACGGCGGCCGUAACUAUAACGGUCCUAAGGUAGCGAAAUUCCUUGUCGGGUAAGUUCCGACCCGCACGAAUGGCGUAAUGAUUUGAGCACUGUCUCGGCAAUAAAUCCGGUGAAAUUGUAGUGCAAGUGAAGAUGCUUGCUACCCGCGGUUGGACGGAAAGACCCCGUAGAGCUUUACUGUAGCUUAGCAUUGAAUUUCGGUAUUGUCUGUACAGGAUAGGGGGGAGACUUAGAAGCGAGGGCGUCAGCUUUCGUGGAGUCGUCCUUGGGAUACCACCCUGACAGUACUGGAAUUCUAACUGGAGGCCAUGAAUCUGGUCACAGGACAUUGCUAGGUGGGCAGUUUGACUGGGGCGGUCGCCUCCUAAAAGGUAACGGAGGCGCCCAAAGGUUCCCUCAGCGCGGUCGGAAAUCGCGCGUAGAGUGCAAAGGCAGAAGGGAGCCUGACUGCGACACAUACAGGUGGAGCAGGGACGAAAGUCGGGCUUAGUGAUCCGGUGGUUCUGUAUGGAAGGGCCAUCGCUCAACGGAUAAAAGC
rnacentral:rRNA from 1 species